rnacentral:misc_RNA from 1 species
UGUGGUCAUUAGGGGCUUGUUUGGUUUGGUACCAAUUUAUUACCCUACCAAAAUUUUGGUAACUUCAAGCAAGUGCAUGUUUGGUUUGCUACAAAUUUUUAUACCCACAAUAUUUCAAAUUGAAUACUGCUAAUGCCAAAAUUUGCCAAUAUUUUAGCACUACCAAGAUUUGGUAUGGUAAAAAUUGGCUCCAAACCAAACAAACCCUAA